rnacentral:misc_RNA from 1 species
ACCCCGAUCCCAAGCACCAUGGAGCCGACGAUUUGGAUCAAGACCUACAUCCCAAGCACCAAGGUGCCUGGUUGAUAUGGAUCGCGAUCCCGAUCUGGAGCUCCAGGGCGCCGAGGAUUUCGAUCACGAUCCCGAUCUGAAGCACCGAGUAGCCGAGGAUAUGGAUCAAGACCCCGGUCCGAAGCGACAAGGAGGCAAGGAUUUGGAUCACCACUCCGAUCAAAGGCACCAAGGCGUCGAGGGAUUGGAUCGAGAUCCCGAUCCCAAUCAUGAAGUUGGCUAUGUAAUUUCCUGUUUUCCACACCGUUCAGGGCAUUUUGGUGGUCGUAUCGGCUUUUAGUUGCUUGCUUGGUGUUAGUGCCAAGGGAGUGGUUGGAAGCUAGGUCGUCCUCUGGAAUGCUUGUUGUAAAGGUGUAUGAGUUGUGUUUGGCUUGUUACGGGUGUUUGUUGGCUGCUUGUGCAGGAACUUUCAUGCGUCCAAGCCUCUUCAGUUGUGCUACAAGGCCUUGUUUGUCUUGUGCAUACGGUGGGUUUCCUGUGUUGCAUACCUAAUCAAGGGCAUCGUAUGGCUUGAUCGAAGUAAAUAUUCGUAAUGCGCCGCUUGCGGCGUUGCACGAACCUCGAAGUGGUCUCUGUGGCCCAUGUUGUCUUUGCUCACGUAUGGAUGGCAUGGCCCUCGGAGCGUCGCUUGGUCUCUUGGAUACGGAACCUGAUGAUGUGGGCGGUAGGGUCUUGGAUGAUUCUACCUUCGC